CUCCGUUCCUUCCAGGUGGUCGCGCUCGCACUCUGGCCGCCUCUUUUCUUUUUCUUUUUUCUUUCCUUUGAUAAGAUAAUAAAGAUCCACCGCUAAAACCUCCAACAAAUAGCACGAGGAGAGACAAGCAAAGCAAGCGACAUCGAAAGACGAACGAUCAUUCGUCCGACGUGGCGCGCGGCGAUUGGGUGUUUUGGGGGGACGUGGCAGCCCACGGACGAGUCUAAAAAAUAUCCCGACGCGCCGUUCCAUCGUUUGACCGAAAACGCGCUCUGUGC
rnacentral:lncRNA from 1 species